UAGGGGCAUCAGGGUUUGACUCCCCUCACAGAGCCCAGGGUAACUCUUAAGGUGGAAGGGAC
rnacentral:ncRNA from 1 species